UGCACUAUAUAUCAAUUAUGUCUGUUCCAGCUGAGUCGUUAAAUCAUUUAGUGUGUAAUUGAGGGUUGCCUGUUUGAUCCCCUCCAACCAAAUCUUUAAUUUUUUUAUUCCAUUAAUCAUCAUUCACCUACUCUUUUAAUUAAAAAGUCUAUAUAUAAAUAUGUUUUUCUUAUUAUAAACGAACCCAGAACUUUACUUUCCUCAAAACUUUUGGAAAACAUCGAUCUCCCUCUUAACCUAACCUUUACUUCCCACAAACCCUAAACCCAAUCUGACAAAACACAAUCUUCCUCAUACUAUUCAUCCACAAAGUCAUACGAUCCAUCACAAACUGUCACAAUCUGACAAAACACAAUAUAUUGAGUGGAGUUACCUUUUAUUUUAGAUUGGGAUGAUUUAAUUUAAUUUCUUUCCAAUGUUAAUUAUUUUAGUUGUUCGCUCUGAUUGAUUCAAUAAUAGCAAUAAUCCAAUGGUUUUAUUGGUACUCUUUAUAUGGUUAAUUGAUGAUGAGAGGUUGCUAUAUAAAGCUUAAUCUAAUAUGUAUACAGUAUACUUUUACCAUUUACUAAGGUUUUUCUUCUAGUCAUUAGAUAUUAUAUUAGGUUUUUUUUUUUUUUUGACGAGGUAGAUAUUAUAUUAGGCUGUUUUACAAUGCUCAGCAAAAUGAUGACUAUCAAUUUAUAAUCUGCUCAUUUAUAAUUGAUAUUUAGACUAUCAAUCUAGAUUUGAAAUUUUAUUUCACCAUUCUAUUCUACACAAUUUAUCACUAUUUUAGCAUAUUUUUAUUUGAGAGAUUCAUUGGUUAUAUUAUACCAAAUUGCUAACAUCUUACGAUAAACACAACCACCAAAGUCAUGAAGUUAAAAUUAUGCAUGUAUGCUAUAUCAAUGUAGUAACUAAGAGUUAAAUUAAGUGGCUUCUGUAGUUUUGUGGACCAAGUUAAAUUUCUAAUGCUACCUGCUGUAUCAAUGUGUAAGUUUGGCAAAUUUCUAUGUUUCUGUUCAUGUGGACUAAUAUAUGAUUGUCCUAUAUACACUUGUUAUUAUUAACCAUAUCCAAAGUGACACUAUUAGAA
rnacentral:lncRNA from 1 species